AAUAUGGAUGAUGAUGAAGAUGAUGAGGAAGACGAAUGAAAGAAGCAAUGGCUCGAAGAAGAAAGUUAAAUAUUCGACAUCGAGCAA